UUCGGCCAUCUUGGCAUCUUCAUCUUGGCGACCUUGCCUUGCCGUGGAUUGUUUUUAGUUGUUUGUAUUAUUUGUGCUUUUUAAGAAUAUUUUUUUAAUUCGGAUACUUUUAUAAUAGCUUUAAUAGUAUUAUUAACAUAGUGCAUAAAAUGGUGUCCUGUUUUUAACGCAGUUGGAGUAGCAGAAACAAAUGUAGAUAAAAAAAUCUGCAGGAAUAACGUUUCAAUUAUGACAGAAGCUCAAAACAAAUGACUGUGAAUGAAAAGCCCUAUUAAAAGCUUUCCAGAAGAUCCUGCGAAGAAGACAUGAAGUAUAGAUCAGAUUUGUUAAUAGAGGAGUAUGUUCAAAACACUUUUUAGAAAAAGAUAUUGACAGAACUUCACUUUCAUCUGUUCGUUUGAGAGACUGUGCUGUUCCAAUAGCUUAUGUCACACAGAAUCAGCUGAGAGAAGUGGUCUACAAAAAACCAGAAAGGAAACGGAAUAUGUGGCUACGAAAAGCAAAAGAAAGGUUUACAAAGCAAAUGUGACACAUUUUUUUAUAAUAUUUAGGAAUGUCAGCAAAUUACAUUAAAAAAUGUAUGUAAAGAUUUUUUGCAAUAAAAAUGUUUAUAUUUA